rnacentral:rRNA from 1 species
AUUGAACGCUGGCGGCAGGCCUAACACAUGCAAGUCGAGCGGAGCGGCGGACGGGCGAGUAAUGCCUAGGAAUCUGCCUGGUCGUGGGGGAUAACGUCCGGAAACGGGCGCUAAUACCGCAUACUAUCAGAUGAGCCUACGUGGGAUUAGCUAGUUGGUGGGGUAAAGGCUUACCCAGGCGACGAUCCGUACCUGGUCUGAGAGGAUGAUCAGUCACACUGGAACUGAGACACGGUCCAGACUCCUACGGGAGGCAGCAGUGGGGAAUAUUGGACAAUGGGCGAAAGCCUGAUCCAGCCAUGCCGCGUGUGUGAAGAAGGUCUUCGGAUUGUAAAGCACUUUAAGGUGGGAGGCGUUACCAGCAGAAUAAGCACCGGCUAACUACGUGCCAGCAGCCGCGGUAAUUC